rnacentral:rRNA from 1 species
UAGGGAAUCUUCGGCAAUGGACGGAAGUCUGACCGAGCAACGCCGCGUGAGUGAAGAAGGUUUUCGGAUCGUAAAGCUCUGUUGUUAGAGAAGAACGUUGGUAGGAGUGGAAAAUCUACCAAGUGACGGUAACUAACCAGAAAGGGACGGCUAACUACGUGCCAGCAGCCGCGGUAAUACGUAGGUCCCGAGCGUUGUCCGGAUUUAUUGGGCGUAAAGCGAGCGCAGGCGGUUCUUUAAGUCUGAAGUUAAAGGCAGUGGCUUAACCAUUGUACGCGAUGGAAACUGGAGGGCUUGAGUGAAGAAGGGGAGAGUGGAAUUCCAUGUGUAGCGGUGAAAUGCGUAGAUAUAGGGAGGAAAACCGGUGGCGAAAGCGGCUCUCUGGUCUGUAACUGACGCUGAGGCUCGAAAGCGUGGGGAGCAAACAGG